rnacentral:rRNA from 1 species
UACGGAGGGUGCAAGCGUUAUCCGGAUUCACUGGGUUUAAAGGGCGCGUAGGCGGCUUUUCAAGUGACGGGUGAAAUCCCUCGGCUUAACCGAGGAACUGCCUGUCAGACUGGAAGGCUUGAGACCGGGAGAGGUGAGUGGAAUUCCCAGUGUAGCGGUGAAAUGCGUAGAUAUUGGGAGGAACACCAGUGGCGAAGGCGGCUCACUGGACCGGAACUGACGCUGAGGCGCGAAAGCGUGGGGAGCAAACAGG